CCUACGGGAGGCAGCAGUAGGGAAUAUUGGACAAUGGGUGCGAGCCUGAUCCAGCCAUGCCGCGUGCAGGAAGACGGCCUUCUGGGUUGUAAACUGCUUUUGCCAGGGGAUAAAACGUCCAUGCGUGGAUAAUUGAAGGUACCUGGUGAAUAAGCCACGGCUAACUACGUGCCAGCAGCCGCGGUAAUACGUAGGUGGCAAGCGUUGUCCGGAUUUAUUGGGUUUAAAGGGUGCGUAGGCGGUUCCAUAAGUCAGUGGUGAAAUACGGCAGCUUAACUGUCGAGGUGCCAUUGAUACUGCGGAACUUGAGUACAGACGAGGUAGGCGGAAUUGACGGUGUAGCGGUGAAAUGCUUAGAUAUCGUCAAGAACACCGAUAGCGAAGGCAGCUUACUAGACUGUAACUGACGCUGAGGCACGAAAGUGUGGGGAUCAAACAGGAUUAGAUACCCUGGUAGUCCACACUGUAAACGAUGAUUACUCGAUGUUGGCGAUACACAGCCAGCGUCUUAGCAAAAGCGAUAAGUAAUCCACCUGGGGAGUACGCCCGCAAGGGUGAAACUCAAAGGAAUUGACGG
rnacentral:rRNA from 1 species